UGACAUUCCACUUAUAGGAUCACAAGGACAGAUAAGAAGGGUUGGUGGGCUCAGUUCUGGUUGAGGGCUCAGGAAGCAGAGCCUGGGGGCAUCAUUACCAUGGCCUGGGCUCAUGUUCUCUUCACAUUCCUCAUUCACUGCACAGGUGGCUUUCUACAGGGGAUUCUUGAGGGCACCUGGGCUGUCACCUAGGAUGAUAUCUUCUCAUCCUUGCCUGGGAAGGAGGAUCUGGUCUGAUCUCACUGACUUCUAUGUUACUUUCUCCUUCCAGGGUCUUGGGCACAGUUUGAAUUGACUCAGCCUCACUCUGUGUCUGCAUCUCCAGGGAAGACAGUCACCAUCUCCUGUACACGCAGCAGUGAUGAUAUUGGGAGUUACUAUGUGUACUGGUACCAACAGCAUCAGGGCAGUGCUCCUAGCACUGUGAUCUAUGAAGAUGAUAAAAGACCCUCUGGGGUCCCUGAUCGGUUCUCAGGAUCCAUUGACAGUUCCUCCAACACAGCCUCCCUGUCUAUCUCUGAUCUGCAGAUUGAGGAUGAGGCUGACUACUAUUGUCAGUCUUACGAUAGCAGCUAUAAUCCCACAGUGCUCCAGACACAUGGGGAAGUG
rnacentral:lncRNA from 1 species